UUGUGACCAAAUACUCAUAUAAGAGGUAC
rnacentral:piRNA from 1 species